rnacentral:rRNA from 1 species
AUAAGAUGCUUUAGGGCUUUACUUUUUAUUAAAUUAUAUAAAAUUAUCUUGUGGAAAAUUAAUUUAUUUAAACUGUAAAGGUAAAAUAAAAAUUAAAUAAAAUACUUAUAAGUGGUUACCUUUUGUAUCAGGGUUAAUUAAAAUUAGCUUUUCAGGAAAGUUUUCUCGAAAAAUAAAGAUUUAUUGAUUUGUUUAUUUUUUUGUAUCAUAAAAAAAUAAAAUGAGUUUAUGGUAAUGAUAUAUUAGUCAAUUUAUUAUAUCUAGUUAUUUUAUUUUUGAUUAAAUCAAUUUUAUUUAAGUAAAAUUUUAUUUUUAUUUAAAAUUAAUAUAGGGAUAAGCUUAUAUUAAAUCUAAAAGGAAGGAUUAAUUGUUUAAAUUAUACGUUUAAGAAUGAAAAUUUUAUUUGUAAAAAUUAAUUAAAUUUUAUUUAAUUUUAUUUAGUAUGUAGCUUUAAGGGGAAGUAAAGUUAUUUAUUUAAAUAUAAGAAAUUAAAUAUUAAUUAUUAAAUUAGUAGAAUAAAAAAUAAUUGUUAUGAACUAGGCAAUUAUAAUUUUCGUCUGUUUAUCAAAAACAUUUCUGUAAGAAAAAUAUUUUUGGUAUAGCCUGCUCUAUGCUUUAAAGUCAAUAGCUGCAGUAUUUUGACUGUACAAAGGUAGCAUAAUCACUAGUCUUUUAAUUGGAGGCUCGAAUGAACGGCUGAACGAGAAAUUAUCUUUAUUACUUUUAUGUGUUUCGAAUUUUAUAUUAAAGUAAAAAAUCUUUAAUAGGUAAAGGGGACGAGAAGACCCUAUAGAAUUUUAUAAAAGAAGUGAAGUUUUUUGUUUUGUUGGGGUGACAGAAAAUUAACAUUUUUUUAAUUUUUCAUUUUAUGAUUUAUAGAUCCUAAAAUUAGAUAAUAAGAUAAAAUUACCUUAGGGAUAACAGCAUAAUUUUUUUUUUAAGAUCAUAUUUAUAAAAAAGUUUAUGACCUCGAUGUUGAAUUAAAAUUUUAUUUAGGUGUAGAUACUUAAAUAGUGAGUCUGUUCGACUUUAAUUUUUACAUGAUUUGAGUUCAAACCGGUGUAAGCCAGGUUGGUUUCUAUCUUUUUUCUAAAAAAUCAGUUUAGUACGAAAGGAUUAAUUGUUUUAAAAAAUUUAUUUAAUUAAAUAUUUAACAUAU